rnacentral:rRNA from 1 species
UACGAAGGGGGCUAGCGUUGUUCGGAAUUACUGGGCGUAAAGGGCGCGUAGGCGGUUCUUCAAGUCAGGCGUGAAAUCCCCGGGCUCAACCUGGGAACCGCGCUUGAGACUGGAGAACUAGAGUUCGGGAGAGGAUGGUGGAAUUCCCAGUGUAGAGGUGAAAUUCGUAGAUAUUGGGAAGAACACCAGUGGCGAAGGCGGCUCACUGGCCCGGUACUGACGCUGAGGUGCGAAAGCGUGGGGAGCAAACAGG